GGAUCCAGACUUUGAUUCUGGCUCAGGAUGAACGCUAGCUACAGGCUUAACACAUGCAAGUCGAGGGGAAACGACAUCGAAAGCUUGCUUUUGAUGGGCGUCGACCGGCGCACGGGUGAGUAACGCGUAUCCAACCUGCCCAUCACUUGGGGAUAACCUUGCGAAAGUAAGACUAAUACCCAAUGACGUCUCUAGAAGACAUCUGAAAGAGAUUAAAGAUUUAUCGGUGAUGGAUGGGGAUGCGUCUGAUUAGCUUGUUGGCGGGGUAACGGCCCACCAAGGCAACGAUCAGUAGGGGUUCUGAGAGGAAGGUCCCCCACAUUGGAACUGAGACACGGUCCAAACUCCUACGGGAGGCAGCAGUGAGGAAUAUUGGUCAAUGGGCGAGAGCCUGAACCAGCCAAGUAGCGUGCAGGAUGACGGCCCUAUGGGUUGUAAACUGCUUUUAUAAGGGAAUAAAGUGAGUCUCGUGAGACUUUUUGCAUGUACCUUAUGAAUAAGGACCGGCUAAUUCCGUGCCAGCAGCCGCGGUAAUACGGAAGGUCCGGGCGUUAUCCGGAUUUAUUGGGUUUAAAGGGAGCGUAGGCCGGAGAUUAAGCGUGUUGUGAAAUGUAGACGCUCAACGUCUGCACUGCAGCGCGAACUGGUUUCCUUGAGUACGCACAAAGUGGGCGGAAUUCGUGGUGUAGCGGUGAAAUGCUUAGAUAUCACGAAGAACUCCGAUUGCGAAGGCAGCUCACUGGAGCGCAACUGACGCUGAAGCUCGAAAGUGCGGGUAUCGAACAGGAUUAGAUACCCUGGUAGUCCGCACGGUAAACGAUGGAUGCCCGCUGUUGGUCUGAAUAGGUCAGCGGCCAAGCGAAAGCAUUAAGCAUCCCACCUGGGGAGUACGCCGGCAACGGUGAAACUCAAAUGAAUUGACGG
rnacentral:rRNA from 1 species